rnacentral:misc_RNA from 1 species
UUCACAGUACAUAAAAGAGGCAACUGAGUUGGCUAAAAAAGCUAGGGAGUUGAAGAAAGCAGCAGAGGCUCUUCAUCAGGAGGAGAGAAGUGGUUCUAAAGGAAGGAAAUGGCGCAAAAAUGUCAAGGCAGUUGAGAAGGAAUUAUUUCUCUUGGAAGAUGAUAUGAAAGCUUUGGAAGAAAUGUAUCCUCAAGGAGAAAAGGCAGAGACUGCAUGGGCUUUAACCGUCUUGGGCUACAUGGGAAAGUUCGUACUGGGUAUUAUUGGGUUGAUUAUUUCAGUGGCUUGGGUUGCACAUAUUGUCAUAUAUUUAUUGAUAGACCCCCCUAUUUCCCCUUUCUUAAAUGAAGUAUUCAUCAAAUUGGAUAAUG